UUGCACGCUGGCGGCAGGCCUAACACAUGCAAGUCGAACGGUAACAGGAAACAGCUUGCUGUUUCGCUGACGAGUGGCGGACGGGUGAGUAAUGUCUGGGAAACUGCCUGAUGGAGGGGGAUAACUACUGGAAACGGUAGCUAAUACCGCAUAACGUCGCAAGACCAAAGAGGGGGACCCUCGGGCCUCUUGCCAUCGGAUGUGCCCAGAUGGGAUUAGCUUGUUGGUGGGGUAACGGCUCACCAAGGCGACGAUCCCUAGCUGGUCUGAGAGGAUGACCAGCCACACUGGAACUGAGACACGGUCCAGACUCCUACGGGAGGCAGCAGUGGGGAAUAUUGCACAAUGGGCGCAAGCCUGAUGCAGCCAUGCCGCGUGUAUGAAGAAGGCCUUCGGGUUGUAAAGUACUUUCAGCGGGGAGGAAGGGAGUAAAGUUAAUACCUUUGCUCAUUGACGUUACCCGCAGAAGAAGCACCGGCUAACUCCGUG
rnacentral:rRNA from 1 species